rnacentral:rRNA from 1 species
AUGACGUGUCUUUGCUUUUUCGAGAAAGAUGAGGUGUAUGUGAUAGUGGUGAGAAAGAACUCUGAGAAAGAGGAUACUUAUAUAAGCAUAAUCCAAAACCAAAAAUGUCAUCUUAAUCUGAGAAAGAGGAUAGUUAUCUUAAUCUGUGGUCGAUCGAUCGGUCUCACUCCCAGCGGAACAGAAUCAGAGCAGCUAGCACGGCUCUCCACUAAACAAUUACAGUAUAAGCAGGACGGCACCACCAGGAUAUGUUCGAUUCUACACUUUCUUCCCCCACUCACCUUUAAGUUUCCCUUUUGUUUUCUCUCGAUAUUUUGGUUGCGUUCCUCCCUACGCGUGGCUGAAUGCACCAUCUAG